rnacentral:rRNA from 1 species
GAGACAGCAGCCGCCGCGGGAAUACGUAGGUGGCAAGCGUUGUCCGGAAUUAUUGGGCGUAAAGGGCUCGCAGGCGGUUUCUUAAGUCUGAUGUGAAAGCCCCCGGCUCAACCGGGGAGGGUCAUUGGAAACUGGGAAACUUGAGUGCAGAAGAGGAGAGUGGAAUUCCACGUGUAGCGGUGAAAUGCGUAGAGAUGUGGAGGAACACCAGUGGCGAAGGCGACUCUCUGGUCUGUAACUGACGCUGAGGAGCGAAAGCGUGGGGAGCGAACAGGAUUAGAUACCCGAGUAGUCCCUGUCUCUUAUAC